GCGCCCGUAGCUCAACAGGAUAGAGCAUCGGAUUUCUAAUCCGACGGUUGGGGGUUCGAGUCCCUCCGGGCGCGCCA
rnacentral:tRNA from 1 species